AUCCUGACCUGAGCUGAAGGCAGUCGCUUAACCAACGGAGCCACCUGGGUGCCCCUGGCCAGGAGACUUUCCUAAUUUGUCUGCCCAAAGACCACCUUCUUGUAAAUUCCUGAGGGAGGUGUGUGUGGUGAGAGGGCCGCCGUGGGUGCCUCACGAGGAGGUAUCAACCCUGUGAAACACUCAGCCUCUGACAGCGAUGCUCAGGGCUGCCCAUCUGAUCAUAGAAAGUGUGCUUCAGACUUAUGUAGGCAGAAUUUAAAUCACUAAGUGUCUUUUCUUCAUUUUAAAUUCCUUCUCACAUAAUCACUUCGGAUGCAGCCGAUAGAGUCACCUCUAAUCACAGGUUGAUGGUGUCGCUUUGCCCAGAGACUCGGCAUUCUGCGGUGCCGGUUUGGCCUUAUAACUGCCCGUGAAUUGAUAUUUAAAAAUCAUAUCCUAGGACUCAUUCAUCAUAUUUAAUAGGGUUACGGUUUAUGAUGUUGCAGGUUAAUAAAUAGCCAUAAUAGCCGCUCAGUUUUCUAGAAUCAGAGCUCCAGAAAUAGUCCCUUGGCUCUACUUCCUUUCCUUGUGAAUCUUUCAAAAUUCUUACGUUACUACUCCUACUUGUGUGUGUUUAAUAACUUAAUUUAAUGCCUUCCUUUGGAAACGUUACCUCGCGGCUCACCCACUUGGUGAUUUUGCCUUCUCAGCAGAGUAACUGAGUUGAAGACAGUCACAUGGCAAGCCAGGCUAUAUUAGAACUAGGGUAGUGAAAAGAGAUGCAGUGCCUCACUUUCCUAAUUAGCUAGAGCAACCCACCAUUUUAUAUACUUGCAAGUUAAUUUUGUUCCCUAAGAAGAGGCAAAAAUGGGAGUUAAACAUAAUCGUAUUUCGUAUUUUAUAUUGUUACAAGCUUCAGCAUGUGCUCCUAUAUAUUAUCUCAUUUAGUCAUGCAACAGUCCUUGAAGCUGGUGUUACGAAGUCUGUUUUAUUGAUGAGUUGACUAUGGUUCCGAUAGGCCCCCUGAAUUGUCCAGGUUGACCCAAGCCUGUGCAGAGCCAAAUGCGUAUCUACUUUGGAAGUCACCACUGACACUUCUUGGGAGAACACAUAAUGACAGAGUCUUGUGGCCUUGGAAGUAGCAGCCGCCCUGACUUUGGAGUUGGCCCAGCCAUGGGUGCAGAGACCAGGAGUGCUUUGGCUCUGGUCGUGCAUCUGGCCAUUCAUUUGAGCUGAACCUCAACAGGUCAGCUUCCACGAGGAACCAGAGGUGGUCACUAUGAAUAAGUCAUUCUGGUCUUGCCCACGCGCCUCUACUCUUCCUCUCUCUUCGCUCUCAUGAGCUCAGGUUGAUGCUUAGUUUCUGUCUGCAACCAGAGGGAUAGAGCUGGCCGUGAAAGCCUCAGAGGGCCAGCUCCAGGAGUGGGGCUCAGCCAUGUCCCCACAUCCCCUGGCAUUUCACCAGGAAUGACCUGGGAACAGGUCCUCCUGCUUUUUUUUGCCUUUCCAAAUGAAAAGUCCUUGUAGUAGGAAGGACUGGGGUUCAUACAGACCUACCUGAGUGGGUUUGCAUUCCAGGGCUUCCUCUUUCAUUUACAAAGAUGAUUUAACUUCUCUAAAACUCUCAUUGUCUAAUACACUUACUCGUAAGGGUUUGCAAUAAGGAUCAGGGUAGCACCUCACACAGUGCCUAGCAAACAGUGGCCAGCAACUCGCUAGAGCUCUUUCAGUUUCCCAAGCUGAUAAAUAGCCUGGGUAGGGGGUGGCUUCCUCAUUUUCAAAGGCCAAGAGAAGCAUGUAUGUCCUUGUUUGUUUCACUAAAGAAAGGGCUAGACUUUUGUCUACAUGGCAUUGAACUGAUUUCCCUAAGUCACCCUGGAAAUGAGUUGUUAGAUAAAUCCUCUAACACCACCAUGAUUUCUGGGAGCUCAGUUCUCCUCUCAGGCACUUUCCUACCCGCCGCUCUUUGUACCUCUCUCUGGCAUGGUUUUCUUCAUCGGUCUUGCCGGAGUCUGUAAGUCUCCUUCCUGAGCCUUCCCUACUCUUCUCAAACCUAGCAAGUCCUCCCCUGUCCUCUGUUGUUAUCAGUAUUCCAAAAAUGGCCUCCCCUUGCACAGCUGCCUGUGACGUGUCAUGACGUCACCAGCAGAGUUGAGGCAAGGACAUGGGGAAGAUUUAAUUCUCAGUCAGCCUCUGACACAGUAGUAAGGACUUCUAACAAAGAUGGCCAGCCACCUGUGUUUUAGAUCUUGUUUCCCCUAAGCCUUCCUUUGGGUGCCUCCACUUUUCCACACUCAAAUGCCUGAAGGCUUUCUACUUUUCCAGCAGCACAGAGCCCUGCUUAGCUGCUUCAAACAGCUUGAGGAGAAAAAACAGCCCGCCAGAGAACAGCCAGGAUGCUUUGGAAGGGAAAUUUCCUUUUUGGGCUUGCAGUCUGAAAGAAUUUCCGAUGCAGGCAGACGUUAAUUCCUAGCUCCAUGCUUCCUGAUAAGGAAGCAGCUUCAAUAAAUGCAGCUAUUUAUAGAGCCCCCCCCCCUUUUAAAUAUAUAACCAGAGGUCUAUUGACCUUUUCUUUCACUUUGCAUUUCAUGCCGUGCGCUCUGUGUACAUUUAAGGCAGUUCCUCCGGCAGAAGCUCUGACAAAGCGCCUUGGUCCUGGGGGGGUGGGGAAGGGAGGGCUCUCCAUGUCCUUGGAAUUCGGAAGUUGAUGUUUGGAAGCUUUUGGCAGUUGGUGGUCCCUCCCUGGUGCCGUGGGUUAUUGAGGUGACCCCAGAGACAUCCCACGCUAUUCUAGACCAAUAUGGAGAGAUGAUGACGGACUAAGACAGGCAGCCAUCUAGAAGUAAGAGCCCAUGAGAACCAGUCAGCCCUCUGAGUGGCAACUUGAACAACAGGAAAUCAAUGAUACUCCCAUUUCUUCUGUCUCCUCUCAACUGUCUCCCCUCAGACUUCCCCUCAGACCAUCAGGAGCUCCAUGGUCUUUCUCUUGGCAUGUUUAGGGCCCCUGUUCAUAAGUUCCGUGGCCAAUUUGAUAUAUGGCUACACAAUCCUUACAGACAGACAUGAGGAAGAUUCAUUGUGAUGUUGGCUUGAAAUGGCUUUCCUAGGUUACUCCUCUUGUCCUCUUCAUUAUCACAAAACGUUUUUUGGGCUGAGUCUAUACAAAUAGGAUAAAAUUCCAUUCUCAGGUAACAGGUAUUUUCUCCCAUUUUGCUUCAUGCCCAAAAUCUUUUUUUUUUUUUUUAAGAUUUUAU